UACAGAGGGUGCAAGCGUUAAUCGGAAUUACUGGGCGUAAAGCGCACGUAGGUGGUUUUUUAAGUUGGAUGUGAAAGCCCUGGGCUCAACCUAGGAAUUGCAUUCACUACUGGGAGACUAGAGUAUGAUAGAGGAUAGUGGAAUUUCCGGUGUAGCGGUGAAAUGCGUAGAUAUCGGAAGGAACAUCAGUGGCGAAGGCGACUAUCUGGAUUAAUACUGACACUGAGGAGCGAAAGCGUGGGGAUCAAACAGG
rnacentral:rRNA from 1 species